rnacentral:rRNA from 1 species
AGAGUUUGAUCCUGGCUCAGGAUGAACGCUGGCGGCGUGCCUAAUACAUGCAAGUCGAACGAGGACCCCGGUACUUGUACUGGGAAUUCCUAGUGGCGAACGGGUGAGUAACGCGUUGGUGACCUACCCCAAAGUGGGGGACAACAGUUCGAAAGAGCUGCUAAUACCCCAUAGUAUCGCGAGAGUUAAAGGUCUUGCGAUUAAAGGAUUUAUUCGCUUUGGGAGGGGCCUACGUCCCAUCAGCUAGUUGGUAAGGUAAUGGCUUACCAAGGCAGAGACGGGUAGGGGACCUGAGAGGGUGACCCCCCACACUGGUACUGAAACACGGACCAGACACCUACGGGUGGCAGCAGUAGGGAAUAUUGCGCAAUGGACGAAAGUCUGACGCAGCAACGCCGCGUGCACGAUGAAGGUGUUCGGAUUGUAAAGUGCUUUUAUGUGAGAAGAGAAAGGACGGUAUCAC